rnacentral:rRNA from 1 species
CUACGGGCUGCUGCAGUGGGGAAUAUUGCACAAUGGGCGCAAGCCUGAUGCAGCAACGCCGCGUGGGGGACGACGGCCUUCGGGUUGUAAACCUCUUUUAGUAGGGAAGAAGCGCAAGUGACGGUACCUACAGAAAAAGCACCGGCUAACUACGUGCCAGCAGCCGCGGUAAUACGUAGGGUGCAAGCGUUGUCCGGAAUUAUUGGGCGUAAAGAGCUCGUAGGCGGUUUGUCGCGUCUGCUGUGAAAAUCCGAGGCUCAACCUCGGACCUGCAGUGGGUACGGGCAAACUAGAGUGCGGUAGGGGAGAUUGGAAUUCCUGGUGUAGCGGUGGAAUGCGCAGAUAUCAGGAGGAACACCAAUGGCGAAGGCAGAUCUCUGGGCCGUAACUGACGCUGAGGAGCGAAAGCGUGGGGAGCGAACAGGAUUAGAUACCCUGGUAGUC